rnacentral:rRNA from 1 species
GACGAACGCUGGCGGCGUGCUUAACACAUGCAAGUCGAACGGUAAGGCCCUUCGGGGUACACGAGUGGCGAACGGGUGAGUAACACGUGGGUGAUCUGCCCUGCACUUCGGGAUAAGCCUGGGAAACUGGGUCUAAUACCGGAUAGGACCACUGCCUGCAUGGGUGGUGGUGGAAAGCUUUUGCGGUGUGGGAUGGGCCCGCGGCCUAUCAGCUUGUUGGUGGGGUGAUGGCCUACAAAGGCGACGACGGGUAGCCGGCCUGAGAGGGUGACCGGCCACACUGGGACUGAGAUACGGCCCAGACUCCUACGGGAGGCAGCAGUGGGGAAUAUUGCACAAUGGGCGCAAGCCUGAUGCAGCGACGCCGCGUGAGGGAUGACGGCCUUCGGGUUGUAAACCUCUUUCAGCACCGACGAAGCGCAAGUGACGGUAGGUGCAGAAGGACCGGCCAACUACGUGCCAGCCGCCGCCGUAA